UACGUAGGUGGCGAGCGUUGUCCGGAUUUACUGGGCGUAAAGGAUGCGUAGGCGGAUCUUUAAGUGGGAUGUGAAAUACCCGGGCUCAACUUGGGUGCUGCAUUCCAAACUGGGGAUCUAGAGUGCAGGAGAGGUAAGUGGAAUUCCUAGUGUAGCGGUGAAAUGCGUAGAGAUUAGGAAGAACACCAGUGGCGAAGGCGACUUACUGGACUGUAACUGACGCUGAGGCAUGAAAGCGUGGGUAGCAAACAGGAUUAGAUACCCUUGUAGU
rnacentral:rRNA from 1 species